rnacentral:rRNA from 1 species
UCCACGCUGUAAACGAUGUCGAUUUGGAGUUUGUUGCCUAGAGUGAUGGGCUCCGAAGCUAACGCGAUAAAUCGACCGCCUGGGGAGUACGGCCGCAAGGUUAAAACUCAAAUGAAUUGACGGGGGCCCGCACAAGCGGUGGAGCAUGUGGUUUAAUUCGAUGCAACGCGAAGAACCUUACCUGGUCUUGACAUCCAUAGAAUUCUGCAGAGAUGUGGGAGUGCCUUCGGGAACUAUGAGACAGGUGCUACAUGGCUGUCGUCAGCUCGUGUUGUGAAAUGUUGGGUUAAGUCCCGCAACGAGCGCAACCCUUAUUCUUUGUUGCCAGCGAUUUGGUCGGGAACUCAAAGGAGACUGCCGUUGAUAAAGCGGAGGAAGGUGGGGACGACGUCAAGUCAUCAUGGCCCUUACGACCAGGGCUACACACGUGCUACAAUGGCGUAUACAAAGGGAAGCGAAGGUGCGAGCUGGAGCGGAUCUCAUAAAGUACGUCUAAGUUCGGAUUGGAGUCUGCAACUCGACUCCAUGAAGUCGGAAUCGCUAGUAAUCGUAGAUCAGAAUGCUACGGUGAAUACGUUCCCGGGCCUUGUACACACCGCCCGUCACACCAUGGGAGUGGGUUGCACCAGAAGUAGAUAGCUUAACCGCGAGGGGGGCGUUUACCACGGUGUGAUUCAUGACUGGGGUGAAGUCGUAACAAGGUAACCA